rnacentral:rRNA from 1 species
AGUGAACGCUGGCGGUAGGCCUAACACAUGCAAGUCGAACGGCAGCACAGUAAGAGCUUGCUCUUACGGGUGGCGAGUGGCGGACGGGUGAGGAAUACAUCGGAAUCUACUUUUUCGUGGGGGAUAACGUGGGGAAACUUACGCUAAUACCGCAUACGACCUACGGGUGAAAGCAGGGGAUCUUCGGACCUUGCGCGAUUGAAUGAGCCGAUGUCGGAUUAGCUAGUUGGCGGGGUAAAGGCCCACCAAGGCGACGAUCCGUAGCUGGUCUGAGAGGAUGAUCAGCCACACUGGAACUGAGACACGGUCCAGACUCCUACGGGAGGCAGCAGUGGGGAAUAUUGGACAAUGGGCGCAAGCCUGAUCCAGCCAUACCGCGUGGGUGAAGAGGGCCUUCGGGUUGUAAAGCCCUUUUGUUGGGAAAGAAAAGCAGCAGGUUAAUACCCCGCUGUUCUGACGGUACCCAAAGAAUAAGCACCGGCUAACUUCGUG